rnacentral:rRNA from 1 species
AAAGCGCUCGCAGGCGGUCUUUUAAGUCUGAUGUGAAAUCUCGCGGCUUAACAGCGAGCGGUCAUUGGAAACUGGAGGACUUGAGUACAGAAGAGGAGAGUGGAAUUCCACGUGUAGCGGUGGGAUGCGUAGAGAUGUGGAGGAACACCAGUGGCGUAGGCGACUCUCUGGUCUGUAACUGACGCUGAGGAGCGAAAGCGUGGGGAGCGAACAGGAUUAGAUACCCUGGUAGUCCACGCAGUAAACGAUGAGUGCUAGGUGUUAGGGGGUUUCCGCCCCUUAGUGCUGAAGUUAACGCAUUAAGCACUCCGCCUGGGGAGUACGGCCGCAAGGCUGAAACUCAAAAGAAUUGACGGGGGCCCGCACAAGCGGUGGAGCAUGUGGUUUAAUUCGAAGCAACGCGAAGAACCUUACCAGGUCUUGACAUCCUCUGCGACCGGUAGAGAUACCGGGUUCCCUACGGGGACAGAGUGACAGGUGGUGCAUGGUUGUCGUCAGCUCGUGUCGUGAGAUGUUGGGUUAAGCCCCGUAACGAGCGCAACCCUUGAGAUUAGUUGCCAGCAUUAAGUUGGGCACUCUAAUCUGACUGCCGGUGACAAACCGGAGGAAGGUGGGGAUGACGUCAAAUCAUCAUGCCCCUUAUGACCUGGGCUACACACGUGCUACAAUGGAUGGAACAAAGGGCAGCGAAGCGGCGACGCAUUAGCAAAUCCCAUAAAACCAUUCUCAGUUCGGAUUGCAGGCUGCAACUCGCCUGCAUGAAGCCGGAAUCGCUAGUAAUCGCGGAUCAACA